CCGUAGCCCAUGUGUCUGGGAUAACUGCUGGAAACGGUAGCUAAAACCGGAUAGGUAUACAGAGCGCAUGCUCAGUAUAUUAAAGCGCCCAUCAAGGCGUGAACAUGGAUGGACCUGCGGCGCAUUAGCUAGUUGGUGAGGUAACGGCCCACCAAGGCGAUGAUGCGUAGCCGGCCUGAGAGGGUGACCGGCCACACUGGGACUGAGACACGGCCCAG
rnacentral:rRNA from 1 species